GAUGAACGCUGGCGGCGUGCCUAAUACAUGCAAGUCGAGCGAACAGACGAGGAGCUUGCUCCUCUGACGUUAGCGGCGGACGGGUGAGUAACACGUGGAUAACCUACCUAUAAGACUGGGAUAACUUCGGGAAACCGGAGCUAAUACCGGAUAAUAUAUUGAACCGCAUGGUUCAAUAGUGAAAGACGGUUUUGCUGUCACUUAUAGAUGGAUCCGCGCCGCAUUAGCUAGUUGGUAAGGUAACGGCUUACCAAGGCAACGAUGCGUAGCCGACCUGAGAGGGUGAUCGGCCACACUGGAACUGAGACACGGUCCAGACUCCUACGGGAGGCAGCAGUAGGGAAUCUUCGGCAAUGGGCGAAAGCCUGACGGAGCAACGCCGCGUGAGUGAAGAAGGUCUUCGGAUCGUAAAACUCUGUUAUUAGGGAAGAACAAAAGUGUAAGUAACUAUGCACGUCUUGACGGUACCUAAUCAGAAAGCCACGGCUAACUACGUG
rnacentral:rRNA from 1 species